rnacentral:rRNA from 1 species
UACAGAGGGGGCAAGCGUUGUUCGGAAUUACUGGGCGUAAAGGGCGCGUAGGCGGCCAACUAAGUCAGACGUGAAAUCCCCAGGCUUAACCUGGGAACUGCGUCUGAUACUGGAUGGCUCGAGUUCGGGGGAGGGAAGUGGAAUUCCAGGUGUAGCGGUGAAAUGCGUAGAUAUCUGGAGGAAUACCGGUGGCGAAGGCGGCAUCCUGGACCGACAUUGACGCUGAACGGCGAAAGCUAGGGGAGCAAACGGG